CGCUGGCGGCGUGCCUAACACAUGCAAGUCGUACGAGAAAGUGGAGCAAUCCAUGAGUAAAGUGGCGACCGGGUGAGUAACACGUGACUACCUACCUUCUAGUGGGGGAUAACUCCGGGAAACCGGAGCUAAUACCGCAUAACAUCGCAAGAUCAAAGCAGCAAUGCGCUGGAAGAGGGGGUCGCGGCUGAUUAGCUAGUUGGUAGGGUAAUGGCCUACCAAGGCAAAGAUCGGUAUCCGGCCUGAGAGGGCGCACGGACACACUGGAACUGAAACACGGUCCAGACUCCUACGGGAGGCAGCAGUGGGGAAUUUUGCGCAAUGGGGGAAACCCUGACGCANCAACGCCGCGUGGAGGAUGAAGUCCUUUGGGACGUAAACUCCUUUCGACCAAGACGA
rnacentral:rRNA from 1 species